rnacentral:rRNA from 1 species
AAUUGGAGGGCAAGUCUGGUGCCAGCAGCCGCGGUAAUUCCAGCUCCAAUAGCGUAUAUUAAAGUUGUUGCAGUUAAAAAGCUCGUAGUUGAAUUUCGGGAUCAGCAGGUUGGUCGUGCCAAUGGUAUGAACUGGCCUUGCUGAUUCCUCCCUCUUGAUGAGCCGUAAUGCCAUUAAUUUGGUGUUGCGGGGAAUCAGGACUGUUACUUUGAAAAAAUUAGAGUGUUUAAAGCAGGCAAGCGCUUGAAUACAUUAGCAUGGAAUAAUGAAAUAGGACGUUUGAUCCUAUUUUGUUGGUUUCUAGGAUUGACGUAAUGAUUAAUAGGGAUAGUUGGGGGCAUUAGUAUUCAAUUGUCAGAGGUGAAAUUCUUGGAUUUAUUGAAGACUAACUACUGCGAAAGCAUUUGCCAAGGAUGUUUUCAUUAAUCAAGAACGAAAGUUAGGGGAUCGAAGACGAUCAGAUACCGUCGUAGUCUUAACCAUAAACUAUGCCGACUAGGGAUCGGAUGAUGUUAAUUUUAUAAUGACUCAUUCGGCGCCUUACGGGAAACCAAAGUGU